AUGAACGCUAGCGGGAGGCCUAACACAUGCAAGCCGAGCGGUAGAGAUUCUUCGGGAUCUUGAGAGCGGCGUACGGGUGCGGAACACGUGUGCAACCUGCCUUUAUCUGGGGGAUAGCCUUUCGAAAGGAAGAUUAAUACCCCAUAAUAUAAGAGACGGCAUCGUUUCUUAUUGAGAACUCCGGUGGAUAGAGAUGGGCACGCGCAAGAUUAGAUAGUUGGUGAGGUAACGGCUCACCAAGUCUACGAUCUUUAGGGGGCCUGAGAGGGUGAUCCCCCACACUGGUACUGAGACACGGACCAGACUCCUACGGGAGGCAGCAGUGAGGAAUAUUGGACAAUGGGUGAGAGCCUGAUCCAGCCAUCCCGCGUGAAGGACGACGGCCCUAUGGGUUGUAAACUUCUUUUGUAUAGGGAUAAACCUACCCUCGUGAGGGUAGCUGAAGGUACUAUACGAAUAAGCACCGGCUAACUCCGUGCCAGCCGCCGCCGUAA
rnacentral:rRNA from 1 species